rnacentral:rRNA from 1 species
CCUACGGGUGGCUGCAGUGGGGAAUAUUGCACAAUGGGCGCAAGCCUGAUGCAGCCAUGCCGCGUGUGUGAAGAAGGCCUUCGGGUUGUAAAGCACUUUCAGCGGGGAGGAAGGCGGUGAGGUUAAUAACCUCAUCGAUUGACGUUACCCGCAGAAGAAGCACCGGCUAACUCCGUGCCAGCAGCCGCGGUAAUACGGAGGGUGCAAGCGUUAAUCGGAAUUACUGGGCGUAAAGCGCACGCAGGCGGUCUGUCAAGUCGGAUGUGAAAUCCCCGGGCUCAACCUGGGGACUGCAUUCGAAACUGGCAGGCUAGAGUCUUGUAGAGGGGGGUAGAAUUCCAGGUGUAGCGGUGAAAUGCGUAGAGAUCUGGAGGAAUACCGGUGGCGAAGGCGGCCCCCUGGACAAAGACUGACGCUCAGGUGCGAAAGCGUGGGGAGCAAACAGGAUUAGAUACCCCAGUAGUC